rnacentral:rRNA from 1 species
GACGAACGCUGGCGGCGUGCUUAACACAUGCAAGUCGAACGGAAAGGCCUGCUUUCCCUUGUGGAUUGCGGGUACUCGAGUGGCGAACGGGUGAGUAACACGUGAGUGAUCUGCCCCCAACUUGGGUAUAAGCCUGGGAAACUGGGUCUAAUUCCCGAUAGGACUGCAGGGUGGUGCCUGUGGUGGAAAACGAUUUUCUAGUGGUUGGGGAUGAGCUCGCGGCCUAUCAGCUUGUUGGUGGGGUAAUGGCCUACCAAGGCGGCGACGGGUAGCCGGCCUGAGAGGGUGGACGGCCACAUUGGGACUGGGAUACGGCCCAGACUCCUACGGGAGGCAGCAGUGGGGAAUAUUGCCCAAUGGGCGGAAGCCUGAUGCAGCGACGCCGCGUGGGGGAUGACGGCCUUCGGGUUGUAAACUCCUUUCGACCGCGAGGAAGCCACCUGGUUGGAAGGGUGGUGACGGUAGUGGUAGAAGAAGCACCGGCUAACUACGUG